UACGUAGGGACCAAGCGUUGUCCGGAAUCAUUGGGCGUAAAGAGCGUGUAGGCGGCUUGUUAAGUCUUGCGUGAAAUCUCGGGGCUCAACCCCGAGCGGUCGUGAGAAACUGGCAGGCUAGAGUGCGGGAGAGGAGAGUGGAAUUCCCUGUGUAGCGGUGAAAUGCGUAGAGAUGGGGGAGAACACUCGUGGCGAAGGCGGCCAGCUAGACCAGUUCUGACACUGAGGCGCGACAGCGUGGGGAGCAAACAGG
rnacentral:rRNA from 1 species